rnacentral:lncRNA from 1 species
UAGAAACCCAGUUGCACAGGGCUUUAUGCCUGGCAAGGGCACCCCUUGCUGUGUGCAUCCCAGAGGAGGCACGUCUGAAGUCUGCAGAGGAAGCUUCUAUCUUCCCUUCCAACGAAUUCCUGCUCAGGCCAGCAAGGAAGAGAGUUUGAGUUGUUUAUGGGGUUGCAGCUUCAGAAGCCUGUAUUUGUGGACAGAGCUCUUCCGAAGGUUCCAGGAGGAUGAAAACAUCCAGUGACUCCCAGAUGUUGCUGGGCUGGAUAUAUUUAUUUCUAAUAAUGCUCCUGGCUCCACGCUUCCAGAUGGACAGUCCCAAAGAGAAUGGUUUGUUUCCUUUCGUCUUCCUCCACGAUGCAUUUUACGAUUGCAGAGGGUCCUGCUUGCCAUGUGUUUGCUUCUAAUCUGCUCGUUUAUGGAACGCACACGCUGUGCCAGGCAUUGUGCACAGAGAGACCCAGUUCCUGCCCUCUUGGAGUUUAUAUGACAUGAGCUGAAGACAGACAAGAAGCAAGUGUAAGAGCUACCAGAGGGAGGAAAGUGGAAGCUACCAGACGGAGGAAGCAUAAACCAGGUCCUGAUCCCUGAUUAAUUGAGAAUCAGCCAGCUUGGGAAGGGGAUGGCUGCGCAAGCCCACAGAACGCAGACUCCCAGAGGAGGCAGGGGUAGGAAAGCUCUUGGCCGUGGCCUGAUUGUCUGGGAGACGGGAGUCAAGAUGGCUUGGUUUCAACAAACUGGCUUUGAUUACUUGGCGUUUGGCUCUGUGCUCUCUGGCCAGGUCAGCCUGACCCACGGUUGUCACCCCAGAGGACUGUGAAAUAACAAGUGCAGUUAACUGGCCACUGCUGAUCUGCGCCUAGAAGACAACGUCUCAGUUGUUAAGGCUUUUGUUGGCCUGCUCAGGAAGCGAUUCUUUUUGCCUGCAAAUUAUUGUAGGUUCCUGAGGGAACCGUGCCAGUCCUUGCCCUUUAGCUGCUCUGCUCUGUGCUGGGCUUGUGGGGUGAGAGAGGAGACAGAAUAGGGAGAAGGAGGAGAGGGGAGGCUGUACCUUGUAGGUGGAUAUUUUAAGGCUCUAAUGUUAGCUGUGGUUGGAAUUGACCAAGGGAGGCACUAGCAAGAGGUUGGAGGGCCGGAAGAGGAAAGAAACCAGAGUUUCUCUCCAACUCCUCUCUCUCUUUCUCUGCCUCAGAUGGUCAAAAUUUUAAGGAGACAGAAUCCAACAGGGCUGGGAUUAGGAUGAAGUGAGUGAGGCUGAGCUGUGCAAAUACGAGGUCAGAUCCUGACCUUGUUCAUCAUGGAAUUUUUGCAUUAAUGUUGAUAUUUUUUAAAUAUUGUGUUGAAAUAUUUAUCUUGAUUACUGAGCUUUUUGACAUUUCCUUAGACUUUAUCCCAAAGCAAGAGCCUUGCUUGUUUCACCCUGGUCCUGGCCUUGCCUUCCAGUGUGUCGGACACAUUUACGCACAGAGAAAAAUAGGCAAUCCAAAUGGUCCAACUCUAUUGGAUAUUCUCUAUGCUGCUUUCAUUCACUCAAUAAUGUGUAGCUGAGCACUUUUCUGUGUCAAUGAAUAUAGUUCCACAUUAUCCUGGGCUUGAAGGAUGUGUUAUCAAAUAUUUUACUAACCCCCCACUGAUGCAUCUAGCAGGAUCUGUCCAUGCCCUGCCCAUAUCUCUAACAUUUCUAUGUGCUCCAGCCAAACUCCACUGCCAGCUCUGCAUUUCUGAGUGGAAAGUCUCGUUUCAGAUCUGCAGAAUGCCAUGCUGCCUAUCAUUUCAGCAGGGGAAACUGCCAUAGAAUUAACAUCUGCCAGGAAUAGCUCUUGACCAAUGACUAAGGGGGGACUGGUGUGUAAAUACCCCAGCUCCCUUGCCCAUUGGGUGGGACAACUCAGGUGUGUGCUGUACACUAUAUCCCAGAGCUCUCUCCAUGGGUACAAGCUCCAGUUGCCCACAGUAGUGCUUGGCUUAAUUACCUGCCUUGAUUGGCUGCCUGUCCUUCUCCAUAUCACUUUUCCUUUCCCUCCUGGGGCUGUCUACAACCCCAACCCAGUAACAACUGCACUUGAAUCUUUGUCUCAGGAUCUGCUUCCGUUAAGAUGGACAUUCCGAUUAUUUUGAAUUUUUCAGUGUUAACAUGUUCACCACCCAUAUGGAUUUUGGCAUAUUAAUAGCUGCCACCCCCUCCUUUGGGGAUGUGGUCCAUACAAAGCAAGGGUAACAGAAGAAGGUAAAGUAGAGAAAAGAGACAGAAACUCUGAAAUGCUACCAUGCAUCUCAGAGUUAUGUCCUAUAAAAUGAGCCUUUUCAGUAUGUGCUGUGGCAUCAAAAGUGUUGAGAAGCAUUGUUCUCACUGGUCAGGCUGUGCCUUCACCUCUGUAGCUCCAAUGAGUGACACAUAGUAGAUAAUGGAUAAAUAUGUGUUGCAUGAAUAAAGGGAGGAGUAAUUGGUUCAUGCUCUGAGCCUCUGCCAAGCUGAGUAUAUGAGACCUUUUGAUUUACCUGAGCAAUUGAGCAUCUGUGCCUCAGGACUCUCUAGUUCUACCAUCAAGACAGAGAAUGGUGUGAUACUCAGGUUAACAAGGUGAGUCCAGGAGUGUUGCCCUGGAGGCAUAAAACAGGGGCCCAGCCUUUGGAGAUAAAGCAUGCUCUGGUCCUAAAUGGCAGCAGGAGAAGAAUCUUCCCAAAGUGAGAGUCAGGCCACAAUACCUCCCCUGGGAGGACGUCUGUGCCUGUGUAUGUUGGAGAGAGAAGGAGCUUUUUCAUCCCAAGUGAGUAGAGAGGUUACAUCCUCUGACUGCUUCCCCCUCUCUCUGUCUUUCUCUCUCUCCUGCUGUGAAGGCCAAGUAUGACUUCACAGAAUCCCUAAGCUCCAUAAAUCAGUUCUAGAUCCAUCCCUUGCAGCUGUAAUGAAAGCAGGAUUUUAAUAAAAACUGGAUACUUCUUUUUUGUUGAAAUGGCCAGGUCAUUUGUCCCCUAGAA